GACCUGAUGGUGUAGUGGUUAGCACACCUGUUUUAAUUAAGGGCUAUGUUCGGGUAUUCAUCGGGAGGCCUUCGUUCGAUUCGAAGUCAGGUCA